GCUGCAGCUGGCACAGCCUGUGCUGCCGAGGAGUUUCCAGUCGCGGGGAUUCGAAUCCCAGGAAAAUAAAACAAGAGCGAGCCGCCACAGAGAUACAGAGACGUGAGUGGUUCUGGCCGUCCACCAGCCAGUCACAGUCAAUGCGAGUGUGGAGUCAUCUCGCUGCCACUUUAGUGUCUCCAUCCAGCCCUCCAGGUUCACUCUAAACACGUGUAAGACUAAACCCACAUCAGAAACUUAAAGAUCUCUCAGAUGGAUGUCAGACGCCGCAUUUGAAGACCCUCAGCUACCUUCUAACUGCAGUCCAAGUCACCUAAGAAAACAGCCUCUGGUCUUCAGACCAGCACAGCUCAGCCCACAAUCUGAACACAAGGUCAGGAGAUGCCCAGAGCCACAUCCUGACCAAUAGCAGACUCCUAUCCCCACACAAUGGAGGCAAGUCAAGUUUAUGUUUGUUUGAAAUGACUGAGUAUUGAAGUGAUUUGUAAGACUGCAAUAGAUAG